rnacentral:rRNA from 1 species
CUACGGGACGCAGCAGUGAGGAAUAUUGCACAAUGGGGGGAACCCUGAUGCAGCAACGCCGCGUGGAGGAUGACGCAUUUCGGUGUGUAAACUCCUUUUAUAUGUCAAGAAAAUGACGGUAGCAUAUGAAUAAGCACCGGCUAACUCCGUGCCAGCAGCCGCGGUAAUACGGAGGGUGCAAGCGUUACUCGGAAUCACUGGGCGUAAAGGACGCGUAGGCGGGUUGGAAAGUCAGGUGUGAAAUCCUACAGCUUAACUGUAGAACUGCACUUGAAACUUCUAAUCUAGAGUAUGGGAGGGGGAGAUGGAAUUAGUGGUGUAGGGGUAAAAUCCGUAGAUAUCACUAGGAAUACCUAAAGCGAAGGCGAUCUCCUGGAACAUUACUGACGCUAAGGCGUGAAAGCGUGGGGAGCAAACAGGAUUAGAUACCCCAGUAGUC